rnacentral:rRNA from 1 species
GAUGAACGCUGGCGGCGUGCCUAAUACAUGCAAGUCGAGCGAACAGACGAGGAGCUUGCUCCUCUGAUGUUAGCGGCGGACGGGUGAGUAACACGUGGAUAACCUACCUAUAAGACUGGGAUAACUUCGGGAAACCGUAGCUAAUACCGGAUAAUAUUUUGAACCGCAUGGUUCAAAAGUGAAAGACGGUUUUGCUGUCACUUAUAGAUGGAUCCGCGCUGCAUUAGCUAGUUGGUAAGGUAACGGCUUACCAAGGCAACGAUGCGUAGCCGACCUGAGAGGGUGAUCGGCCACACUGGAACUGAGACACGGUCCAGACUCCUACGGGAGGCAGCAGUAGGGAAUCUUCCGCAAUGGGCGAAAGCCUGACGGAGCAACGCCGCGUGAGUGAUGAAGGUCUUCGGAUCGUAAAACUCUGUUAUUAGGGAAGAACAAAUGUGUAAGUAACUAUGCACGUCUUGACGGUACCUAAUCAGAAAGCCACGGCUAACUACGUG